AGUUGGAGAUGAAGUCUGGCUCCCGUGGGAGUCCGGACGAAGUCUUCCUGCUGCUGAAUUUGGAGAUGGAAUCCGGCUCCCGUAGGAGUCCGGGCGAAGCCUCCCUGUAGUCGAAGUAGGAGAUGAAGUCCGACUCUUGUAGGAGUCCGGACGAAGUCUUUCUGCUGCUGAAUUUGGAGAUGGAGUUCGGGCAAAGCCUCCCUGCA
rnacentral:lncRNA from 1 species